rnacentral:rRNA from 1 species
UACGUAGGUGGCAAGCGUUGUCCGGAAUUAUUGGGCGUAAGGCGCGCGCCGGCGGUCCUUUAAGUCUGAUGUGAAAGCCCACGGCUCAACCGUGGAGGGUCAUUGGAAACUGGAGGACUUGAGUGCAGAAGAGAAGAGCGGAAUUCCACGUGUAGCGGUGAGAUGCGUAGAGAUGUGGAGGAACACCAGUGGCGAAGGCGGCUCUUUGGUCUGUAACUGACGCUGAGGCGCGAAAGCGUGGGGAGCAAAUAGG